AGCAGUCGCCGCGGUAAUACGAAGGGUGCAAGCGUUACUCGGAAUUACUGGGCGUAAAGCGUGCGUAGGUGGUGGUUUAAGUCCGUUGUGAAAGCCCUGGGCUCAACCUGGGAAUUGCAGUGGAUACUGGGUCACUAGAGUGUGAUAGAGGAUAGUGGAAUUUCCGGUGUAGCAGUGAAAUGCGUAGAGAUCGGAAGGAACAUCUGUGGCGAAGGCGACUAUCUGGGCCAACACUGACACUGAGGCACGAAAGCGUGGGGAGCAAGCAGGAUUAGAUACCCCAGUAGUCCCUGUCUCUUAUAC
rnacentral:rRNA from 1 species